rnacentral:rRNA from 1 species
AACUUUCAACAACGGAUCUCUAGGCUCUUGCAUCGAUGAAGAACGCAGUGAAAUGUGAUAAGUAAUGUGAAUUGCAGAAUCUCGUGAAUCAUCGAAUCUUUGAACGCA